UCCCAAUCCAACGCUGUCCUUUCUCAGUCCCAUCCACUUCACUUCCUCACUUCCAUGGCACUUCCACUUUCUAGGCUUCACCUUUUCAGUUUCACCAUUCAAUACAACAGUUACUUCCUCCUUUGUUUCCUUUCAGUUCUCAAGCUUUCCCUCAGAGGGAAAAAAGAUUCUGUGUGAUUGACAACCCCUUCUUGAUUUACUUCGUUUUCGCUCGCCACUGGGUGUCACUAGAAGAUGACACCUGGGCUACCAAGAGGCCUACUUCGUUGUGUACUUGGAAUUGGUUGUCUGAUUUUUUGAAACAAUGAAGGACGUGAUCGCUCGUAUGUGUUAGUUUGGUUUCGCUGGUUUCUCGUUUCGAAUUUGAAUUUGGGGCGUUUGAUUGGGAAAUUUUGGUCGUUAUGAUAUCUUCUGGGGUUAACUUGGUGAUGACUGUGAUUGGAUUUGUGGUGAGCACUAUGUUUAUCGUUUUCGUUUGCACUAGACUCAUCUGUGCUCGAAUUCACUUAAAUGCUUCUCGCCGAUCCCUCCUUGUUGCUUCCAGAUCCAAUCUCAGUCUGCUGGAGCGAGGAUUUCAUGGUCUUGAACCCAUAGCAGUAGCGAAUUUCCCAACGAAGAAGUACAGUGAUGGAUGCUUUGCUGCUGCAGAAAAUUCUCAAUGCACAGUUUGUCUAUCGGAAUACCAAGGUGAGGAUGUACUACGCAUCCUCCCGUAUUGUGGACACUUCUUCCAUGCAACCUGCAUAGACCUAUGGCUGCAGCAACAUUCAACAUGCCCAGUUUGUCGAAUCUCAUUGCGCAAAUCAUCCGAGAGGAAACGCAUAAUGCAACCAUUGUUCAGUGCUGUUGUUCGAUCCAAUUUUGGUGUGGAAUCUAUCGAGGCUUAUCCUUAUCACUGUAUGAUGUCUAAUAAUGAGUUAUCAUCAAGAAAUUCUGAUAUACAAGAGGAUCAUUGCGCAGCUGAAGGUGGUGGAACGGUUGCUAUAGAGAAUGUCACCAAUUUAAGUGAUGUUGAUCAGUCCAUGAAAGAUGCAGAAAAGAAGCAUUUAGAGAGCCCAUCAAUCCCUUUAAGCUAAUGUGGCCUGAACAGGAAAUUGAGAUAUUUCAUGUUUAUUGAAGAGUUGGAGCUCCACUCUCACUUGCAUUGCCAUUCAUCUGACCUACUAGGCUAUUUAAGUGGUCCAUAAAGGUUCACAUACGUACAUGGUUGCUCCUUACUCCACGUGCACUGUGGUGGAGAGGGCAGGAAAAUUCAAAUGGCGACGUGGUGAGUUUCAUCACGCAGACGGGUGUGAUACCGUUAAGGGACAUAAAUGCAAUAGUGUCUGGGAAGGCAUGUGGGACGGCGAAAAUUGCGGUCAGUGAGUUCUUUCCCCCAUCACCCCCAACUGUAGCAGCACUGCUGCUUCCACAAUCUGGCCGACGGGGUUUGAUUGUGACGUAACAAACUAAGAGACGAAUUCUUAUUAUAAGAUAUGUCCAUAUUUAA